rnacentral:misc_RNA from 1 species
GCUACUACCGAUUGAAUGGUUUAGUGAGGACUCCUGAUUGGCGCCGCCGCCCCGGCAACGGAGCAGCGGACUGUCGAAAAGUUGUUCAAACUUGAUCAUUUAGAGGAAGUAAAAGUCGUAACAAGGUUUCUGUAGGUGAACCUGCAGAAGGAUCAAGAUCGGCAGCGCGUCGUGUAGGGGAGGAGUGUAGAUCUCUGUCGUCGCCGUAUCAUUAAAAAAAAAAAAGAACAGACCAACACAAUACAACUAACAACAUACAGUAUCAAGCACUAAGAA